GAGUUUGAUCGUGGCUCAGAUUGAACGCUGGCGGCAGGCCUAACACAUGCAAGUCGAGCGGAUGACGGGAGCUUGCUCCUUGAUUCAGCGGCGGACGGGUGAGUAAUGCCUAGGAAUCUGCCUGGUAGUGGGGGACAACGUUUCGAAAGGAACGCUAAUACCGCAUACGUCCUACGGGAGAAAGCAGGGGACCUUCGGGCCUUGCGCUAUCAGAUGAGCCUAGGUCGGAUUAGCUAGUUGGUGGGGUAAUGGCUCACCAAGGCGACGAUCCGUAACUGGUCUGAGAGGAUGAUCAGUCACACUGGAACUGAGACACGGUCCAGACUCCUACGGGAGGCAGCAGUGGGGAAUAUUGGACAAUGUGCGAAAGCCUGAUCCAGCCAUGCCGCGUGUGUGAAGAAGGUCUUCGGAUUGUAAAGCACUUUAAGUUGGGAGGAAGGGCAGUAAGUUAAUACCUUGCUGUUUUGACGUUACCGACAGAAUAAGCACCGGCUAACUCUGUGCCAGCA
rnacentral:rRNA from 1 species